GUUAGUUCCCACACCUUUACCCCCAGGUCUUGACCCCUGCUUAAAGAGUUACUCCAACUACCAUGUCACGUAUGCUCCUAGAAGUGGUCAUAGUGGCAGGAAUCUGUAUGUGCAACAUUUCGGCUUGAAACUCUGCACAUGUAAAGAUAUAUGUGCCAGGGCUAAUUAAACCCCCAGCACAUGGGCUGCCUAAUGUGAAUUCUAUGCAAAAAAAUACAUCUG